GACAACAGAACCACAACAACCAUGACUUUUAUUACCAUCUUCAUCUGGACACUUGCUUUCUGCUUUCAAGAAUCCAGAGGACAGUACACUGUGACUCAGACUCCUUCAGUGGAAACUGUUCUCCCAGGACAGAUGCUCUCUCUGAAGUGUAAAACCAGCAGUAAUGUUUACAACAAUGACUUUUUAGCCUGGUACCAACAGAAACCUGGAGGAGCUCCUAAACUCCUUAUUUACCGUGCUACAACACUUCAGUCUGGGACUCCAUCUAGAUUCAGCGGCAGUGGAUCUGGGAGGGACUUCACUCUGACCAUGAGUGGAGUCCAGGCUGAAGAUGCAGGAGAUUACUACUGUCAGAGUGAACACAGUGGUGAUGUGUUCACACAGUGAUACAGAGCCGUACAAAAACCUCCCUCAGUCAGACUGCACAGUGACUGUACUGCUACAGCUGGGACCUACUGCAGGUACUGAGGGGGAAGAGACAGUGACAGGGAACACUGACUGAACUAAAAUACACCGAGCUAAAUAUAUCAGUGAUGGUGACUAUAAUGUAAACUUAUCCACCUUCAUGUGAAAUCAUUCCUGAACUGACAACACCCAUAGGUCCAGACUACAUAAAUAUGCCUUCCCUUUUGCUGUGGCUAACAAACCUUUUAUUUAACAUUUCAGACAAUAAGUUGAAUGGACUCUAUCUAUGUGAAAUAAUAAUGUCUCACAUAAUUUCAUAAUAAAUAUCCCAGUCCCUGUAUUGGCUAAUGAAUUUCAA